GGGGUGCUCGAGUGGCGAACGGGUGAGUAACACGUGAGUAACCUGCCCUUGACUUUGGGAUAACUUCAGGAAACUGGGGCUAAUACCGGAUAGGAGCUCCUGCUGCAUGGUGGGGGUUGGAAAGUUUCGGCGGUUGGGGAUGGACUCGCGGCCUAUCAGCUUGUUGGUGGGGUAGUGGCCUACCAAGGCGGCGACGGGUAGCCGGCCUGAGAGGGUGACCGGCCACAUUGGGACUGAGAUACGGCCCAG
rnacentral:rRNA from 1 species